rnacentral:rRNA from 1 species
UACGUAGGGUGCGAGCGUUAAUCGGAUUUACUGGGCGUAAAGCGUGCGCAGGCGGCCCGUUAAGACAGGUGUGAAAUCCCUGGGCUCAACCUAGGAAUUGCGCUUGUGACUGGCGGGCUCGAGUACGGUAGAGGGGGGUGGAAUUCCUGGUGUAGCAGUGAAAUGCGUAGAGAUCAGGAGGAACACCGAUGGCGAAGGCAGCCCCCUGGACAAAGACUGACGCUCAGGCACGAAAGCGUGGGGAGCAAACAGG